GUGAGCAGCGAAUUUCCGGCCCCGAUCCGCCGCCUUCCGGCCACUUUCCGGCCAAAACUCUUGUACUUCCGGACUCCCCGCAACUUGAGCUUCGCGUAGGCGCUUCCAGAUUUGAAUUCCGACACUGUUGGCAGGACCGGCUUCCGGACCCCGGUGUUUUCUGGACGCGCGAAAUAUUUUAAUUUUUAACUCGAUAAUUCAGCCUUCUCGCCAGCUCCACCCGAGGCGUAGGAGCGGACUGUGGAACGCAUCAAAUCUGUGAUAGUUAAAGACCUUCGCCAUCGCACAUUCGACAGUCCGACUUCUUCUUCUUCGAACUUUUGUAAUUAUCUUGUACUUCUAUACUUGUCAUUUUUACUCUAGAGUAUCCGCAGUAGGAAAUUUAAAAUUUAUAUAACUUUCUGACUCAUGUUGGUAGUAUGAUGAUUUAUUAUGCAAGACAAUUAUGACUACUUUAUAUUUUGAUAAUUGUAUAUCUGGUUUUGCGGGUUGGUAAGGCUUACUACGGGUUUUGGUGGCCUUAAGCCUACCCAUUCCCUAGUGCCGGUCACGGGCCCACAAAGUGGGUCGUGACAAAGUUGGUAUCAGAGUUUAGGUUUAGUUUUUCCUUCAACCUAGGUUAGCUUUCUAAACUACUGCGGGAACUAGGAAAAAUUGAGUCUGUCCUUGCAUGUUUCGUUGAUUCUAGUAUCUGCGCUAUACGUUAGAGAGUCUGUUGGGUUAAUAACUUGUUGUUCAUUUUCAGCUCUUGCCAAUGCUGAGAACCCGAGCGACUGCAGCUGCAGCAUCGGCCCAGGAAGGCGAAGAUGAGUUUUCUGCUCAGACGGCUCCUCCGGACCCAGCCCAUGGUACCAGAAGGCGAGGUAAGCCUCGAGCAGCAGCCCAACCAGAUCAGGGCGAGGCUCAUGAGGUACAUGGUGCUGGUGAAAUUCCAAUGGAGGCUUUUGUGUCCAGUAUGACUGGGAUGCAGAGGGCCUUAGAGCAGUUGCUAGUCUUCCAGCAGCAGCAGGCUGCUCAGGGUGCAGGAAGUCGUGCUAGUGGGUCCGGUAUCAAGAAUUCGGACGAUGUCCCUAUGUCUGAGUAUACCAAGUUAAGACCUGUGGAGUUUGAUGGGACAGCUGGAGACCCUCUAGACUUUUUGGAUGAGGUUGAAAAGAGGGCGUAUGAUUUGCACUGUUCUGACAGGAGGACCAUCGAGAUGGCCGAGUUUUCCUUGAAGGGACUGGCAUCCCAGUGGUUUAGAGAUUAUAUCCGCCCCUUUCUGGAUGGGUUGUCGUGGAGGCAAUUCAGAGACAGAUUCGAAGAGUACUUCAUCCCUUUCAGUGUAAGGCAGGAGUACAGGGAGAAGUUUGAAAGGUUAGUUAAGGGAGAAUCAUCUGUGGCUGAAUACACCAGGAAAUUUGUUCAGCUGAGUAGGUAUGCACCUUAUGUUGUGGGGACUGAGGAGCAGAAGAACAACAAAUACAUUUCAGGGCUCGGCCCAGAGUUUAUUUCUUUGGUUCAAUCUAGGAGGAGCAGCUUCCUAGAAGUUACUGACAUGGCGAGGCAGAUGGAGAUGACGCUGCGAGGGUUUAGUCAAGGGACUGACGAUGGUAGGAAGAAGACAACCAGGGUUGAGGGUCAGUCCAGUGCGCAGCCUGUCGUACCGUGCUAUGGUAGUGGAAGUUACUCUGGAGGUACCGACCAGCAGGCCGUGCAGAGAAGUCACCGCAUCCACAGAAAGGGUAGGCGUAAUCGGAGGAGUAGCCGAGGAUUCAGACCUGGUCAGGGCUUCAGUGGUAGUAGGCAGAGUUCAGGCUACAGCAGCUCUAGUUCUAGGGCCAGCACUUGUCAGAUGUGUGGCAGGUCACAUCAGGGACCGUGCCUAACAUCCAGUGGAGCCUGUUUUAGGUGUGGUGAGAUGGGACAUAUGGCUCGAGAGUGUCCUCGCUAUUUCAGUCGACCAGCUUUUCCACAAGGCUCGUCCGCUAGUGCGACCCGACCAGCUUUUCCUGCAACCCCGGGACAUUUUCAAGAUGGAUCUCAGUUUGUUGGCCAGCAGGGCCGUAGUUUUGGAGGUAGAUCUUCAGGAGGCCGGUCUGGGGGUAGGGUUCAAGGUCGAGCUUUAGGGUCUCAACAGUCAGGCCGGGGGCAAGCUAGAGUGUUUACCCUUACUCCUCAAGAUGCGCGAGCCUCAAAUGCUGUGGUGUCAGGUACUAUUCUUGUUUGUCAUUCUGAGGCUAGAGUUUUGUUAGACCCUAGGGCUACCCAUUCUUUCGUAUCGCCUAGUUUUGCCUUAAGAUUGGAUGUCCAUCCCGUUAGGCUUCGAAUUUCGAUGUCGGUCACUACGCCGUUAAGUAAGGCCUUAGAGACUGAUGUCGUGUAUCCGUCGUGUCCGGUGUCUGUUGAGGGACGAGAUUUGGUUGCUGACCUAAUUCUUUUAGAUGUAAUGGAUUUUGAUGUGAUAUUGGGAAUGGAUUGGUUAGCUAUGCAUUUCGCCAUGUUGGACUGCAGGGAGAAACAAGUGACUUUUCGAAUUCCUGGAGACUCAGAGUUCUAUUUUAAAGGUGAGCAGAUACCUUCUCCCUCGAACCUCGUGUCAGUGAUUGCAGCUAGGCGGAUGCUUCGCCGUGGAUGUCAGGGAUAUUUGGCUUUGGUUAGGGAUACCUCUGCAAGGAAAGGUUGCGUCGAAGACGUUCCGGUGGUUUGCGAGUUUCCUGAUGUGUUUCCAGAAGAACUACCUGGAUUACCGCCCAAUAGAGAGAUAGAAUUCUGUAUCGAUGUGAUACCGGGUACAACACCUAUUUCUUUGCCGCCCUAUCAAAUGGCACCGGCCGAGUUAAAAGAGCUAAAAGAGCAAUUGUAAGACCUCCUAGAUAAGGGUUUCAUUAGACCUAGUACGUCUCCUUGGGGUGCUCCUGUUCUGUUCGUAAAGAAGAAGGAUGGUACCUUGCGUCUUUGCAUCGAUUACCGGCAACUAAAUAAGGCGACGAUUCGUAACCGGUAUCCGCUUCCUCGCAUCGAUGACCUAUUCGAUCAGCUUCAGGGUGCUGUGUAUUUCUCCAAGAUUGAUUUGCAAUCGGGGUAUCACCAGUUGAGGAUCCAUGGUGAAGACGUGCCAAAGACGGCGUUCAGGACGCGUUAUGGGUAUUAUGAGUUUCUGGUGAUGUCGUUUGGACUCACUAAUGCCCCUGCGGCUUUCAUGGAUUUGAUGAAUCGAGUGUUCAAGGAAUUUCUGGAUCGUUUUGUCAUUGUAUUCAUUGAUGAUAUCUUGGUUUAUUCCAAAAGCGAAGAGGAGCACGCGUGGCACUUGAGGAUAGUACUUCAGACUUUGAGGGAACAUCAAUUGUACACUAAGUUCUCCAAGUGCGAGUUCUGGUUGGAAAGCGUUGCUUUUCUAGGGCACAUAGUAUCUAAAGAGGGUAUUUAGGUGGACCCUAAGAAAGUGGAGGCAGUGACUGAUUGGCAGAGGCCAACUUCAGUGACUGAAGUGCGUAGCUUUCUAGGGUUGGCAGGCUACUACCGUCGAUUUGUGCAAGACUUUUCGAGGAUAGCAGCGCCUUUGACUAAGUUGACUCAGAAAAAUGUCAGGUUUCAGUGGACUGACGCGUGUGAGAGAAGCUUUCAAAAGUUGAAGGACUGUUUGACUUCAGCUCCGGUGUUGACCUUACCUUCUGGGACUGGUGGAUUCACGGUGUAUUGCGACGCUUCUGGAGUGGGUUUGGGUUGUGUUCUGAUGUAAAAUGGAAAGGUAAUAGCUUAUGCGUCUAGGCAAUUGAAGAAGCAUGAACAAAAUUACCCGACCCACGAUUUGGAGAUGGCAGCAGUAAUUUUUGCAUUAAAGAUUUGGAGGCACUAUCUCUAUGGAGAGACGUGCGAGAUUUAUACGGAUCAUAAAAGCUUAAAGUAUAUUUUUCAACAGAAGGAUUUGAACCUGAGGCAGAGAAGGUGGUUAGAGCUUCUGAAGGACUAUGAUUGUAAUAUUCUCUACCACCCGGGUAAUGCGAAUGUUGUGGCUGAUGCUUUGAGCAGGAAGUCGGUAGGUAGUCUUGCUCAUGUCAGUGUAGAGAAGAGACCGCUGGUUAGAGAGUUGCAUGAACUGUAUGAUCAAGGGUUACAGGUGGAGAUAUUAGAAUCGGGUGCAUUAUUAGCACAUUUCUGGAUUAGGUCUGUGCUUGUGGACAGAAUCAGGAUGGCUCAGAAUCGGGACCCACAGUUGCAGAAAAUCUUGGAAGAUGUGCAGCAGGGUCGAGCUAAUAACUUUGUUAUAAAUGAUGAUGGCACCCUCAUGAUGGGCUCUAGGCUGUGUGUUCCCGAUGUGGAUAAUCUCAGGAAGGAGAUUUUAGAAGAAGCUCACUGUACAACUUACAGCGUGCAUCCGGGCUCCACAAAGAUGUACCAUGAUUUGAAAGGAAAUUAUUGGUGGAGCGGGAUGAAGAGAGAUGUAGCAGAGUUUGUCUCCAAAUGUCUGACGUGUCAGCAGGUUAAAUUAGAGCAUCAGAAGCCGUUUGGUUUACUGCAGCCGCUUCCUAUACCAGAGUGGAAAUGGGAAAGGAUUACUAUGGAUUUUGUAUCAGGUUUACCCAAGACUUUUACUGGUUAUGACUCCAUCUGGAUAAUUGUGGAUCGAUUGACUAAGUUAGCGCAUUUUCUUCCGGUAAAGACUACCUACUCUGUAACUAAGUAUGCAAGAGUGUAUCUGGAAAGGAUUGUCAGUCUUCACGGCGUCCCGGUUUCCAUAGUGUCUGACAGGGGGCCGCAAUUUACUUCAAGGUUUUGGAAAAAGUUACAAGAGGAACUUGGUACCAGGUUGGACUUCAGUACGGCCUUCCAUCCUCAGACGGACGGACAAUCAGAAAGGACUAUUCAGACCUUAGAGGAUAUGCUUCGGAUGUGCGUGAUAGACUUUGAUGGUCAAUGGGAUUGGUAUCUACCGUUGGUCGAAUUCGCGUAUAAUAACAGCUAUCAUGCAAGUAUCAAAAUGGCACCUUUCGAGGCCUUGUAUGGUCGGAAGUGUAGAUCCCCCAUAUGUUGGGAAGAAGUUGGUGAACGGAAGUUAGCAGGAUCGGAAUUGGUUUAGAUCACUUCAGAAAAGAUUUCGGUUAUUCGCGAGCGACUGAAGACAGCUUUUAGUAGGCAGAAAAGUUAUGCGGAUCCAAAACGGAAGCACGUGGAAUUCAGUGUUGGGGAAUAUGUAUUCUUGAAGGUGUCUCCUAUGCGUGGUGUGUUGCGGUUCGGCAAGAAGGGCAAAUUGGCACCUCGUUAUGUGGGACCCUUUGAGAUUAUUGGCAGAAUUGGAGAUGUGGCAUACAAACUAGACUUGCCACCGAACUUCUCGCACGUGCAUCCACUCAAGUUCGCCAGCUGCGCUCUAAAAUUAUUCCGAUGGUCAAAGUUUUGUGGCAGAAUCAUUUGUCUGAAGAGUGUACCUGGGAAACCGAGCAGGAAAUGAGAAGCCUCUACCCUCAUUUAUUUCAAUCCUAAGUGGGCCAUGGUUUAAUCAUAUAUAUAUAUAUAUAUAUAUAUAUAUAUAUAUAUAUAUAUAUAUAUAUAUAUAUAUAUAUAUAUUUAAAAAAAAUCUCUCCUUUUUCUCCUCCCUCUCUCUCUUUUCCAUCCUCCCUUCCUUCCCCUUCACUCCCCUAUGUCGACUGCUUUCUCCCUUCUCCCUCUCCCCGUCGACUGCCUUCUCCCCCGCACUGCCUACGUGCCGCCCAGCUCGCCGCCGCCGUUCAGCAGCGCCUUCCCCUCCUCCUUCCUUUCCGCGCGACACCGACGAAGGACGAAGAGGCUGCCAUCGUCGAUUCGGCCUCCUGUCGGCGUCCUUUCCGCAAACCGACGCCGGAAUCGGACUCCCCAUCCCUAAAAACCCCGGAAGCAACCCUCCUCCGUCAGAAAAUUCUUGCCGGCAGCCUUGGAAAGUGUCGCAUGAGCAGCGACUUUUCGGCCCUGAUCCGCCGCCUUCCAGCCACUUUCCGGCCAAAACUCUUGUACUUCCGGACUCCCCGCAACUUGAGCUUCGCGUAGGCGCUUCCGGAUUUGAAUUCCGACACUGUUGGCAGGACCGGCUUCCGGACCCUGGUGUUUUCUGGACGCGCGAAAUAUUUCAAUUUUUAAUUCGAUAAUUCAGCCUUCCCGCCAGCUCCACCCGAGGCGUAGGAGCGGACUGUGGAACGCAUCAAAUCUGUGAUAGUUAAAGACCUUCGCCAUCGCACAUUCGACAGUCCGACUUCUUCUUCUUCGGACUUUUGUAAUUAUCUUGUACUUCUAUACUUGUCAUUUUUACUCUAGAGUAUCCGCAGUAGGAAAUUUUAAAAUUUAUAUAACUUUCUGACUCCUGUUGGUAGUAUGAUGAUUUAUUAUGCAAG
rnacentral:lncRNA from 1 species